AAUGAAUGCUAACAACAUACUUAACACAUGCAAGUUGAACGCAUUGUUUUUUUUAAUAAACAAUGAGUAGCGAACGGGUGAGUAAAGCAUGGGAAUUAUUUUAGUAGUUUGGAAUAAGCAUAUUGAAAGAUAUGUUAAUACCAAAUAAUAAAAAAAGAUUAAUCGCUAUUAAAUAAGCCUAUGUAAGAUUAAGGUAGUUGGUAAGAUAAAAGCCUACCAAGCUUAUGAUCUUUAGUUGGUUUGAGAGGAUGAUCAGCCACAUAGGGACUGAAACACGGCCCUAACUUUCUUCGAAAGGCAGCAGUGAGGAAUAUUGGACAAUGAACGAAAGUUUGAUCCAGUAAUGUUGUGUGAGUGAUGACGCCGAUUAUUGGUGUAAAACUCUUUCAAUAGAAAAGAUAAUGACUGUAUCUAUUAAAGAAGCACCGGCUAACUCUGUG
rnacentral:rRNA from 1 species